CUUUAAACGAAUUGUUAAGAACACCAAAAUGAAUGUCAACAUUGUAGGAGGAAUAGCUGCUGGAGUCACUGCCAUUGAGUUGGCUGCGAUGGGAGUGGCUAUGUAUCUCUAUUGCUACCUGGACAAAAAAGAAACCUGAAAGUCUUACUAAAAUUAUGAAUGCAUUUUUUUGUUUAUGAUUCAAAGUAGGGAAGCGAUACUGUAGAUGUUAUGAAAUUAAUUGUUGAUUAGAUGAAAAGAUUUAAUUUGUACGAUUUUAACAAGGCAAAGUGGAUGAUAAAAUUGUUAUUUGAUUUUGAAAAGGGAUGUGAUGUAAAAAAAAAUAAUUAUUUUCUUUCUGUGUAUGCAAUGCAAUGCCUCAAUUCUUUUUAUAACCAUAAAUCCAGUUCAUUUGCAUUGAGAUACAAUAAUUGUUUUGCACUGAAACGCUUCAUCCCACACAAGCUGUUCUUAUACAU